rnacentral:rRNA from 1 species
UACGUAGGGCGCAAGCGUUGUCCGGAAUUAUUGGGCGUAAAGAGCUCGUAGGCGGUUUGUCGCGUCUGCUGUGAAAACUCGAGGCUCAACCUCGGGCUUGCAGUGGGUACGGGGCAGACUAGAGUGCGGUAGGGGAGACUGGAAUUCCCUGGUGUAGCGGUGGAAUGCGCAGAUAUCAGGAGGAACACCGAUGGCGAAGGCAGGUCUCUGGGCCGCAA